UACGUAGGGUGCGAGCGUUGUCCGGAAUUAUUGGGCGUAAAGAGCUUGUAGGCGGUUUGUCGCGUCUGCUGUGAAACCGAGGCUCAACCUCGGGCCUGCAGUGGGUACGGGCAGACUAGAGUGCGGUAGGGGAGAUUGGAAUUCCUGGUGUAGCGGUGGAAUGCGCAGAUAUCAGGAGGAACACCAAUGGCGAAGGCAGAUCUCUGGGCCGUAACUGACGCUGAGGAGCGAAAGCAUGGGGAGCGAACAGG
rnacentral:rRNA from 1 species